ensembl:snRNA U6 U6 spliceosomal RNA
GUUCUCCCUUCGGCAGCACAUAUACUAAAUUUAGAACCACACGGAGAGGAUUGGCAUGGUCCCUGGGUACAGAUGACAUGCAAAUUAAUGGUAACUCUCCCGUGAGG